rnacentral:rRNA from 1 species
ACGGGGUGCAGCAGGCGCGAAACCUCUGCAAUAGGCGAAAGCCUGACAGGGUUACUCUGAGUGAUUCCCGCUAAGGGGAUCUUUUGGCACCUCUAAAAAUGGUGCAGAAUAAGGGGUGGGCAAGCCUGGUGUCAGCCGCCGCGGUAAUACCAGCACCCCGAGUGGUCGGGACGAUUAUUGGGCCUAAAGCAUCCGUAGCCGGCCACGCAAGUCUUCCGUUAAAUCCACCCGCUCAACGGUUGGGCUGCGGAGGAUACUACGUGGCUAGGAGGCGGGAGAGGCAAGCGGUACUCAAUGGGUAGGGGUAAAAUCCUUUGAUCCAUUGAAGACCACCAGUGGCGAAGGCGGCUUGCCAGAACGCGCUCGACGGUGAGGGAUGAAAGCUGGGGGAGCAAACCGGAUUAGAUACCCGGGUAGUCCCAGCUGUAAACGAUGCAGACUCGGUGAUGGGAUGGCCUCGAGCCAUCCCAGUGCCGCAGGGAAGCCGUUAAGUCUGCCGCCUGGGGAGUACGGUCGCAAGACUGANAUCUUAGAAGGAAUUGGCGGGGGAGCAC